AUUCCAGCUCCAAUAGCGUAUAUUAAAGUUGUUGCAGUUAAAAAGCUCGUAGUUGGAUUUCUGUCUCUUUUGGGAUGCGGUCCGCCCUUCAUGGGUGAGCACUGUUAUCCUGGGGACAUCCUCUCAAAGGCGUUAUGGUGCACUUAGUUGUGUGCUUAAUGAAUUUGGGAUCUUUACUUUGAAAAAAUUAGAGUGUUCAAAGCAGGCUUAUUGCUUGAAUAUAUUAGCAUGGAAUAAUGGAAUAGGACUUUGGUUCUAUUUUGUUGGUUUCUAGGACUGAAGUAAUGAUUAAUAGGGACAGUUGGGGGCAUUGGUAUUUAAUUGUCAGAGGUGAAAUUCUUGGAUUUAUGAAAGACUAACUACUGCGAAAGCAUUUGCCAAGGAUGUUUUCAUCA
rnacentral:rRNA from 1 species